CUCAAAAUCUUGAAAUUUAGUACGAAGCAACGUCUAUACGUAAUAGUAUAGACUAUAGAUAAAGGAAAAAUUGCGAAAACCAUACAUUUUUAGUUACAUUAUAUAAUAAAAAUAUUUUUAAUAAUUUAAAGUUACUACCACUUUCCUCAUGAACGCGCAGAGGUAAGUAUUAGAUUGAAAUUCAUAUCAAAUACUCAGGUCUAUAAUACCUUUAAGCUGUAACAAAAUGAAACCUCUAUGUCAACGCAAUCAAAAGAAACAGCAAUUUAACCUUUAAGUACGGACGUGGAGUUUCACAGGCUAUUCAAUGUUUUCGUUUUCUUAGUUUCACCUAAUUCCCCCCACUCCCCGCGAUUGAGCAUCUCAGUAGCUUUUGUUUUAGUUGUAAAACUACCAACGAGGGAGAAGGUUGCGACUUCCCAUGAAUAUCACUGAGGCCGGGGAGCGGCGCGCAUGCGCGAGCCUGCCACAGAGUGCGCCGACGCGUGCCGGAGCCGUGCCGGACCCGUGCCGGACUCGCGCCGCGUGCCGCCUCCUGUCCCACGCUUAAAAUUAUGAAUACAAACAGAACAGCCUGCUUGCCAUUUGUACCGAUACUACACGAGGACAUCACAAAUUUACAAACUACUAAAUUAACCAGCGCUCGCCCGCUUUACAAAUAAAUGUCAUUCCGUUUCAACUGAGAGCGAAUCAACGAGAUCACAAUACUAGCGAAUCUAAAAUUAUUGUCAUACAAUAUUUUAGGCAGUUUUUUUUCUAAAUACAUCGGUACACGUAGUUUGAACUAUAAUAUAAGGUUUUGGUUAAAUUGGUUUCAUAUAAUUUUAUGUUACUAAUAGUAUGUUGAGGUCAUUGACUCGUACCUCAGUUUACUUUAUAAUAAAAUUACCUACUGCAGUGCA